UCCUGGCUUAGUUAGGAGGCGCAUACAGAUGGGCAUUUGAUGCCCACUUGGGCCUUUUGAGGGAGCGCCUUGUAAACCAUAAUAUGCGGUGCUCCCCAAGCAGCUCUAGACAUUC
rfam:Oryza barthii chromosome 3, whole genome shotgun sequence.